rnacentral:ncRNA from 1 species
CGGGGAUAGCCGGCAGACUCCCCGCCCUCCAAGACGCGCCGUCGCGUCCAAGUUCUGC